rnacentral:rRNA from 1 species
GACGAACGCUGGCGGCGUGCUUAACACAUGCAAGUCGAACGGAAAGGCCCUGCUUUUGUGUGGUUCUCGUUUGGCGAACGGGUGAGUAACACGUGAGUAACCUGCCCUUGACUUUGGGGUAUCUCCACGAAACUGGGGCUCAUACCGGAUAGGAGCUCCUGCUGCGUGUUGUGGGUUGGAAAGUUUCGGCGGUUGUGGCUCGACUGGAGGCUUACGAGCUUGUUGGUCGGGUAGUGACUUACCAAGGUUUUGACGGAUAGCCGGCAUGAGAGGGUGACCGGCCACAUGGGGACUACGAGAGGGACCAGACGCGAACGGGAGGCAGCAGUGGAGAGCAUUACAGAACGGGCGGACGCCUGAGGUAGCAACGCUCCGAGCGUGAUGACGGCUUUCGGGUUGUAAACAGCUGUCGCCGGUGACGAAGCGAGAGUGACGGUAAUGGGUAAAGAAGCAACGGCUAACUACGUG